rnacentral:rRNA from 1 species
CGUGCAGGCGGUCUUGUAAGUCGUGCGUGAAAGCGCCCGGCUCAACCGGGCGAGGUCGUGCGAAACUGCGAGGCUAGAGGCAGGUAGAGGCGUGCAGAAUUCCGGGUGUAGUGGUGAAAUGCGUAGAUAUCCGGAGGAAUACCAGUGGCGAAGGCGGCGCGCUGGGCCUGACCUGACGCUAAGACGCGAAAGCAUGGGUAGCGAACG